AAACUUUAGUGUUCAUAUUAGCAAGCAUGUUCAUGUUCCAUAAGCUCUUGCAGCCUCACAAAAUUAUUUAUUUUGAAAUGAGUGAAAUGUUUGUUUGAUUCAUGUCCUUAAUGCAUUAGUAAAACUCCAAGUUUCUUUCCAAAUUUGUUGAUUUGAGAUUAAUUACUGGAGAGUGAUUUCCUAUAACAAGUUUUAACAAUAAGGUGAAUUCCUGGGUCAGAAUAUUAGAAGGCGAGUCAUGAGAUUGGGAUUCCUUUAAAAG
rnacentral:misc_RNA from 1 species